rnacentral:rRNA from 1 species
GACGAACGCUGGCGGCGUGCUUAACACAUGCAAGUCGAACGGAAAGGCCCUGCUUUUGUGGGGUGCCCGAGUGGCGAACGGGUGAGUAACACGUGAGUAACCUGCCCUUGACUUUGGGAUAACUUCAGGAAACUGGGGCUAAUACCGGAUAGGAGCUCCUGCUGCAUGGUGGGGGUUGGAAAGUUUCGGCGGUUGGGGAUGGACUCGCGGCUUAUCAGCUUGUUGGUGGGGUAGUGGCUUACCAAGGCUUUGACGGGUAGCCGGCCUGAGAGGGUGACCGGCCACAUUGGGACUGAGAUACGGCCCAGACUCCUACGGGAGGCAGCAGUGGGGAAUAUUGCACAAUGGGCGGAAGCCUGAUGCAGCAACGCCGCGUGCGGGAUGACGGCCUUCGGGUUGUAAACCGCUUUCGCCUGUGACGAAGCGUGAGUGACGGUAAUGGGUAAAGAAGCGCCGGCCAACUACGUG